rnacentral:rRNA from 1 species
UUAUAAAUUGAAUCAUUUUAUAUUAUGUAUGUAAUAAAUAAAGAUCACUUUCAACAACGGAUCUCUUGGCUCUCGCAUCGAUGAAGAACGUAGCGAAGUGCGAUAAGUAAUGUGAAUUGCAGAAUUCCGUGAAUCAUCGAAUCUUUGAACG